UGUCGGGGGUAGUCUCUGAAAGGAUCCCUGAUUGGAAGCCUUCGUAACAACCAUGGUAGUGGCAGAAACAUGCAAGGAAAGUAGAUAAGGCAGGCAAGUUGAAGGGGCGUAAAUGGGAAUGGAGCAUGCGAGCCGCAAAAGUCGUCCAGAUUCAUGAAAAAUAACGAAUUAGGACGGGAGGGCGUCGAGCGAGCGGCGUAGAAAUAUAUAUCCCAAUCUAAGGAGCUUCCCAAAAUCUUGGAUUUAUCUAAGGAGUUUUCCAAAGGGUUACGUUGUAUAUGUACGGGGAUCUCUCCUUCGCCGGCGUCGCGCGAGUCAUAAGCUCGCGUUGAUUACGUCCCUGCCCUUUGUACACACCGCCCGUCGCUACCCAUCCGCGCGGAGUCGGGAGGCCGGGAGGGUCGCGGAGCCCCUUCCCGCCGAAGCAACAGUUAUAGGUAUGUUCACAAAGGGUUAUAGAGCGUAAACUCAGUAAUGUCCCUACCGCAGUCUCCAUAAAGG
rnacentral:rRNA from 1 species